ensembl:miRNA
CGGGCUCCAAGCGGGCUUGACCCCUGUUCCUGCUGAACUGAGCCAGUGUGCACAAACCAACUGUGUUUCAGCUCAGUAGGCACGGGAGGCAGAGCCCAGGGAGGCCG